ACUCCUACGGGAGGCAGCAGUGGGGAAUAUUGCACAAUGGGCGUAAGCCUGAUGCAGCAACGCCGCGUGAGGGACGACGGCCUUCGGGUUGUAAACCUCUUUUAGUAGGGAAGAAGCGAGAGUGACGGUACCUGCAGAAAAAGCACCGGCUAACUACGUGCCAGCAGCCGCGGUAAUACGUAGGGUGCAAGCGUUGUCCGGAAUUAUUGGGCGUAAAGAGCUCGUAGGCGGUUUGUCGCGUCUGCUGUGAAAUCUGGGGGCUCAACCCCCAGCCUGCAGUGGGUACGGGCAGACUAGAGUGCGGUAGGGGAGAUUGGAAUUCCUGGUGUAGCGGUGGAAUGCGCAGAUAUCAGGAGGAACACCGAUGGCGAAGGCAGAUCUCUGGGCCGUAACUGACGCUGAGGAGCGAAAGCAUGGGGAGCGAACAGGAUUAGAUACCCUGGUAGUCCAUGCCGUAAACGUUGGGAACUAGAUGUAGGGGCCAUUCCACGGUUUCUGUGUCGCAGCUAACGCAUUAAGUUCCCCGCCUGGGGAGUACGGCCGCAAGGCUAAAACUCAAAGGAAUUGACGGGGGCCCGCACAAGCGGCGGAGCAUGCGGAUUAAUUCGAUGCAACGCGAAGAACCUUACCAAGGCUUGACAUAUACCGGAAACGUCCAGAGAUGGUCGCCCCGCAAGGUCGGUAUACAGGUGGCGCAUGGUUGUCGUCAGCUCGUGUCGUGAGAUGUUGGGUUAAGUCCCGCAACGAGCGCAACCCUCGUUCUAUGUUGCCAGCACGUUAUGGUGGGAACUCAUAGGAGACUGCCGGGGUCAACUCGGA
rnacentral:rRNA from 1 species